GACGAACGCUGGCGGCGUGCUUAACACAUGCAAGUCGAACGGAAAGGCCCUGCUUUUGUGGGGUGCUCGAGUGGCGAACGGGUGAGUAACACGUGAGUAACCUGCCCUUGACUUUGGGAUAACUUCAGGAAACUGGGGCUAAUACCGGAUAGGAGCUCCUGCUGCAUGGUGGGGGUUGGAAAGUUUCGGCGGUUGGGGAUGGACUCGCGGCUUAUCCGCUUGUUGGUGGGGUAGUGGCUUACCAAGGCUUUGACGGGUAGCCGGCCUGAGAGGGUGACCGGCCACAUUGGGACUGAGAUACGGCACAGACUCCUACGGGAGGCAGCAGUGGGGAAUAUUGCACAAUGGGCGGAAGCCUGAGGCAGCAACGCCGCGUGCGGGAUGACGGCCUUCGGGUUGUAAACCGCUUUCGCCUGUGACGAAGCGUGAGUGACAGUAAUGGGUAAAGAAGCACCGGCUAACUACGUG
rnacentral:rRNA from 1 species